GAUGAACGCUGGCGGCGUGCCUAAUACAUGCAAGUCGAGCGAACAGAUGAGGAGCUUGCUCCUCUGACGUUAGCGGCGGACGGGUGAGUAACACGUGGAUAACCUACCUAUAAGACUGGGAUAACUUCGGGAAACCGGAGCUAAUACCGGAUAAUAUAUUGAACCGCAUGGUUCAAUAGUGAAAGACGGUUUUGCUGUCACUUAUAGAUGGAUCCGCGCCGCAUUAGCUAGUUGGUAAGGUAACGGCUUACCAAGGCAACGAUGCGUAGCCGACCUGAGAGGGUGAUCGGCCACACUGGAACUGAGACACGGUCCAGACUCCUACGGGAGGCAGCAGUAGGGAAUCUUCCGCAAAGGGCGAAAGCCUGACGGAGCAACGCCGCGUGAGUGAUGAAGGUCUUCGGAUCGUAAAACUCUGUUAUUAGGGAAGAACAAAUGUGUAAGUAACUAUGCACGUCUUGACGGUACCUAAUCAGGAAGCCACGGCUAACUACGUG
rnacentral:rRNA from 1 species